GAUGAACGCUGGCGGCGUGCCUAAUACAUGCAAGUCGAGCGAACAGACGAGGAGCUUGCUCCUCUGACGUUAGCGGCGGACGGGUGAGUAACACGUGGAUAACCUACCUAUAAGACUGGGAUAACUUCGGGAAACCGGAGCUAAUACCGGAUAAUAUAUUGAACCGCAUGGUUCAAUAGUGAAAGACGGUUUUGCUGUCACUUAUAGAUGGAUCCGCGCCGCAUUAGCUAGUUGGUAAGGUAACGGCUUACCAAGGCAACGAUGCGUAGCCGACCUGAGAGGGUGAUCGGCCACACUGGAGCUGAGACACGGUCCAGACUCCUACGGGAGGCAGCAGUAGGGAAUCUUCCGCAAUGGGCGAAAGCCUGACGGAGCAACGCCGCGUGAGUGAUGAAGGUCUUCGGAUCGUAAAACUCUGUUAUUAGGGAAGAACAAAUGUGUAAGUAACUAUGCACGUCUUGACGGUAUCUAAUCAGAAAGCCACGGCUAACUACGUG
rnacentral:rRNA from 1 species